rnacentral:rRNA from 1 species
UACGUAGGGGGCAAGCGUUGUCCGGAAUCAUUGGGCGUAAAGCGCGUGUAGGCGGCUCGGUAAGUCCGCUCUGAAAGUCCGGGGCUCAACCCCGGGAGGCGGGUGGAUACUGUCGAGCUCGAGUCCGGAAGAGGCGAGUGGAAUUCCUGGUGUAGCGGUGAAAUGCGCAGAUAUCAGGAGGAACACCAAUGGCGAAGGCAGCUCGCUGGGACGGUACUGACGCUGAGGCGCGAAAGCGUGGGGAGCAAACAGG